ACAGGAUCCAGGAAGCUACCUUAGAAGUGUUAUUUGACUCUACUACAAAAAGAUUGCUUAUACUGGAUUGAAAAUAUAUUCCUUGCAGAAGAAUUAUCAGAUAUGCAUGGGCUUUGUAUUGAGUACUUCACCGCCAUAUCGUGUCCCUGGGGACAUCUUCCGAGAUCUCCAUUUCUGACUAGAUGUCCAUGUUUGCCAAAAUCUUCAU